UACGAAGGGGGCUAGCGUUGCUCGGAAUGACUGGGCGUAAAGGGCGCGUAGGCGGUUUGUACAGUCAGAUGUGAAAUUCCUGGGCUCAACCUGGGGGCUGCAUUUGAUACGUGCGGACUUGAGUGAGGAAGAGGGUCGUGGAAUUCCCAGUGUAGAGGUGAAAUUCGUAGAUAUUGGGAAGAACACCGGUGGCGAAGGCGGCGACCUGGUCCUUGACUGACGGCUGAGGCGCGAAAGCGUGGGGAGCAAACAGG
rnacentral:rRNA from 1 species